AUACAGUAAGAAUUGGCAAGGUCAUAUGAUUGGUUCUAAAAAAGGUCUUGAACUCUUGAUCCACAUAUAUCAUCUGGCACCCCAAAAUAAGAUCGACUUAUUCUAUGAGAUUGAGUCGCUCCUAUCUAGGAUAGGUAAGCUCAUAAAUCUUUUAACUAUAUGGCACUAUGCAUCAAACGAUAAAGAGCUCCCUCAGCUCUCAGUUAGAAAGAAUUAUCUCUUAUCACAUUUCCACCAAAUCUCGAGAUUGGAUCUUACACUACUUCCGGCUAACGAUCUCGAACUUAGAAAAACAAAACAAAAUGUUUAGAUGAACUAUAAGUUUAGAUAAACCCACUUACCGAAUAUCUUGUGCCAAA